rnacentral:lncRNA from 1 species
CCAGUGCCUAUACCAAACUCUUUGCCUCCAGCCUCAGUGGCUGAAUGCAGAGCUGAGGAACUCAGGUGAUGCUUGUUGGGUGAUGAGGGCUUGGAGGUGAUGUGAAGCCCUAACAGGGCUUUCUAGGAGCACGCUUUUCUUCAUUUGAGGCUGUCUACUCCCUGAAGCACCAUCUUCCUUUGAUUCCCCCCCGGUUGUGGGAUGCGCUCCACUGGUUUGGCUGUGUAGUACACUACUUGAUUAUUUUUAUUCACAAGACAGCAAGACCUAUGGCCAACAGUCUGUGAUAUCCCAUUCUUUCAGAGAGCACACGAGGACCACAGGAUCAUUUUAUCUCUCUCCCUCCACUUUGAAUUUUCUCUAUGGAAAAUCAGAUGCCAGCUCCAGUGCCUCCGAAGUGCAGUGCUGUGAUCUCUCAUCCCAGGAGCCUGGUGCCGGCAGGCAGUGGUAUUUACAUGGAGAAUUCCUACCUCAUGUUUAA